rnacentral:rRNA from 1 species
AAUGAACGUUGGCGGCGUGGAUUAGGCAUGCAAGUCGAGCGAGAACCCGCAAGGGGGACAGCGGCGAACGGGGUAGGACAACGUAGGUAACGUACCCUCGGGGCGAGGACAGCCACGGGAAACUGUGGGUAAUACUCGAUAAACUUCCCAAUCAUUAUGGAAGGGGAAGCAAUGGGUGUGAUUCCACCUGAGGAGCGGCUUACGCAGUAUCAGCUAGUUGGUGAGGUAACGGCUCACCAAGGCUACGACGCUUAGGGGUGUGAGAGCAUGGCCCCCACCACUGGCACUGAGACACUGGCCAGACACCUACGGGUGGCUGCAGUCGAGAAUCUUCGGCAAUGGACGCAAGUCUGACCGAGCGACGCCGCGUGCGGGAUGAAGGUCUUCGGAUUGUAAACCGCUGUCAGAGGGGAUGAAGUGCACGGGGGUUCUCCCCUGUGUUUGACAGAGCCUCAGAGGAAGCACGGGCUAAGUUCGUGCCAGCAGCCGCGGUAAU